rnacentral:lncRNA from 1 species
AAGGAGGAUAUUUUUUUUAUGGAUCGAGCUAAAAGUGAACAGCCACUUGCAUUCUUUUUUACUUUUGGAAUCUAAAUUGUUGAAACUGAGGGAAGCACGAACAUCAUCUUAAUGAGUUUGGAUUAAUAAAAUGUUUCAAGAUAGUCUUUAUUUGCAUAUUUAUAGGCCAUAAAGUUGCUUGAGAUCCAUAAUCAUCUUUCUUGAUUCAAAUGCA